AUACGUAGGGUGCAAGCGUUAUCCGGAUUUACUGGGUGUAAAGGGCGAGUAGACGGCGAUGCAAGUCAGAUGUGAAAUGCUAGGGCUUAACCUUAGAACUGCAUCUGAAACUGUAUUGCUAGAGUGCAGGAGAGGUAAACGGAAUUCCUAGUGUAGCGGUGAAAUGCGUAGAUAUUAGGAGGAACAUCAGUGGCGAAGGCGGUUUACUGGACUGUAACUGACACUGAGGCACGAAAGCGUGGGGAGC
rnacentral:rRNA from 1 species